UACGAAGGGGGCGAGCGUUGUUCGGAUUUACUGGGCGUAAAGCGCGCGCAGGCGGUCUUCCAAGUCAGGCGUGAAAGCCCUGGGCUCAACCCGGGAAUUGCGCUUGAGACUGGUGUGCUUGAGUACGGGAGAGGAUAGUGGAAUUCCCAGUGUAGAGGUGAAAUUCGUAGAUAUUGGGAAGAACACCGGUGGCGAAGGCGGCUAUCUGGACCGUAACUGACGCUGAGGCGCGAAAGCGUGGGGAGCAAACAGG
rnacentral:rRNA from 1 species